rnacentral:rRNA from 1 species
AUUGAACGCUGGCGGCAUGCCUUACACAUGCAAGUCGAACGGUAACGCGGGGCAACCUGGCGGCGAGCGGCGAACGGGUGAGUAACAUAUCGGAACGUACCCAGUCGUGGGGGAUAACUAUCCGAAAGGAUAGCUAAUACCGCAUACGACCUGAGGGUGAAAGCGGGGGACCGAAAGGCCUCGCGCGAUUGGAGCGGCCGAUAUCGGAUUAGCUAGUUGGUGAGGUAAAGGCUCACCAAGGCGACGAUCCGUAGCUGGUCUGAGAGGACGACCAGCCACACUGGAACUGAGACACGGUCCAGACUCCUACGGGAGGCAGCAGUGGGGAAUUUUGGACAAUGGGGGCAACCCUGAUCCAGCCAUUCCGCGUGAGUGAAGAAGGCCUCGGUUGUAAGCUCUUCGGUCAGGAACGAAACGGUAGGUCCCGUAA